CUAGGGAGAAUGUAAUUUGUACAACAUUGUACAAGAUGAAGAAAUUCAUUAAAAUUCUGAAUAAUGUUUGAUAAUGACAUUUUUUAUUCAUAUGUCUUGACUAAAUCACGUGCCAGCAGUCGCGGCAAUACGUGGAAGACUAGUGUUAUUCAUCUUAAAUAGGUUUAAAGGGUACCUAGACAGUCAAAUAAACCUACUAUAGGUACUUUUUGACUAGAGUUUAAUGUGAAAGGGAUAAAUAGAACGAGUAGAGUAGAGAUAAAAUUCGCUGAUACACUCUGUAGACUGAUAAAGGCGAAGGCAACCUUUUAUGUAAAAACUGACGUUGAGGGACGAAAGCUAUAAUUAACGAAUAGGAUUAGAUACCCUAGUAAUGAGUGCCGUAAAUUAUGAGUGCCAUAUGUAAGAUUAAUAUUUUAUGUAUAAAUGAAAGUGUAAGCACUCCACCUUAAGAGUAAAGUGGCAACGCAGGAACUGAAAUCAUUAGACCGUUUCUGAGAACAGUAGUGGAGUAUGUUGUUUAAUUUGAUAAUCCACGGAUAACCUUACCACAAUUUGAAUAUAUAUCUAUAUAUAUACAAGCGUUGCACGGCUGUCUUCAGUUAAUGUCGUGAGACCAUGGUUAGAUUCAUAAAAUUAACGUAAACCCUUAUUUUAUUUACUAUAAAAUAGCCCCUUAAUUAUAUAUUAAUUUUGGUAAUAGGGAUCAAGACAA
rnacentral:rRNA from 1 species